CACAAGCAGUGGAGUAUGUGGUUUAAUUCGAAGCAACGCGAAGAACCUUACCAGGUCUUGACAUCGAGUGACGUAUCUAGAGAUAGAUAUUUCCUUCGGGACACAAAGACAGGUGGUGCAUGGUUGUCGUCAGCUCGUGUCGUGAGAUGUUGGGUUAAGUCCCGCAACGAGCGCAACCCUUAUCAUCAGUGCUACGCAAGAG
rnacentral:rRNA from 1 species